rnacentral:rRNA from 1 species
GUCGAACGAUGAUCCCAGCUUGCUGGGGGAUUAGUGGCGAACGGGUGAGUAACACGUGAGUAACCUGCCCUUAACUCUGGGAUAAGCCUGGGAAACUGGGUCUAAUACCGGAUAUGACUCCUCAUCGCAUGGUGGGGGGUGGAAAGCUUUUUGUGGUUUUGGAUGGACUCGCGGCCUAUCAGCUUGUUGGUGAGGUAAUGGCUCACCAAGGCGACGACGGGUAGCCGGCCUGAGAGGGUGACCGGCCACACUGGGACUGAGACACGGCCCAGACUCCUACGGGAGGCAGCAGUGGGGAAUAUUGCACAAUGGGCGAAAGCCUGAUGCAGCGACGCCGCGUGAGGGAUGACGGCCUUCGGGUUGUAAACCUCUUUCAGUAGGGAAGAAGCGAAAGUGACGGUACCUGCAGAAGAAGCGCCGGCUAACUACGUGCCAGCAGCCGCGGUAAUACGUAGGGCGCAAGCGUUAUCCGGAAUUAUUGGGCGUAAAGAGCUCGUAGGCGGUUUGUCGCGUCUGCCGUGAAAGUCCGGGGCUCAACUCCGGAUCUGCGGUGGGUACGGGCAGACUAGAGUGAUGUAGGGGAGA